rnacentral:rRNA from 1 species
CCCCAGUAAACGGCGGCCGUAACUAUAACGGUCCUAAGGUAGCGAAAUUCCUUGUCGGGUAAGUUCCGACCCGCACGAAAGGCGUAACGAUUUGGGCACUGUCUCAACAACAGACUCGGUGAAAUUGUAAUUCCGGUGAAGAUGCCGGAUACCUGCGACAGGACGGAAAGACCCCAUGGAGCUUUACUGUAGCUUGACAUUGGGUCUUGGUACUACAUGUACAGGAUAGGUGGGAGGCUUUGAAACCAGGACGCCAGUUUUGGCGGAGCCAUCCUUGGGAUACCACCCUUGUAGUACUGGGACUCUAACCAUAGGCCAUGAAUCUGGUCUUGGGACACUGUCAGGUGGGCAGUUUGACUGGGGCGGUCGCCUCCCAAAAGGUAACGGAGGCGCUCAAAGGUUCUCUCAGUACGGUCGGAAAUCGUACGUAGAGUGUAAAGGCAAAAGAGAGCUUGAUUGCAAGACAUACAGGUCGAGCAAGGAUGAAAAUCGGACUUAGUGAUCCGGUGGUUCUGCGUGGAAGGGCCAUCGCUCAACGGAUAAAAGCUACCCUGGGGAUAACAGGCUUAUCUCCCCCAAGAGUCCACAUCGACGGGGAGGUUUGGCACCUCGAUGUCGGCUCAUCACAUCCUGGGGCUGUAGUAGGUCCCAAGGGUUGGGCUGUUCGCCCAUUAAAGUGGUACGCGAGCUGGGUUCAGAACGUCGUGAGACAGUUCGGUCCCUAUCCGUCGCAGGCGUAGGAAAUUUGAGAAGACCUGUCCUUAGUACGAGAGGACCGGGAUGGACGUACCUCUGGUGUACCAGUUGUCCUGCCAAG